rnacentral:rRNA from 1 species
GUAGGUGGCAAGCGUUGUCCGGAAUUAUUGGGCGUAAAGCGCGCGCAGGCGGUUCUUUAAGUCUGAUGUGAAAGCCCACGGCUUAACCGUGGAGGGUCAUUGGAAACUGGAGAACUUGAGUACAGAAGAGGAAAGCGGAAUUCCACGUGUAGCGGUGAAAUGCGUAGAGAUGUGGAGGAACACCAGUGGCGAAGGCGGCUUUCUGGUCUGUAACUGACGCCGAGGCGCGAAAGCGUGGGGAGCAAACAGGGAUUAGAUACCCUGGUAGUCCACGCCGUAAACGAUGAGUGCUAAGUGUUAGGGGGUUUCCCGCCCCUUAGUGCUGCAGCUAACGCAUUAAGCACUCCGCCUGGGGAUACGGCCGCAAGGCUG